rnacentral:rRNA from 1 species
AUUGAACGCUGGCGGCAGGCCUAACACAUGCAAGUCGAACGGUAGCACAGAGAGUUUGCUCUCGGGUGACGAGUGGCGGACGGGUGAGUAAUGUCUGGGAAACUGCCUGAUGGAGGGAGAUAACUACUGGAAACGGUAGCUAAUACCGCAUAACGUCGCAAGACCAAAGAGGGGGACCUUCGGGCCCCUUGCCAUCAGAUGUGCCCAGAUGGGAUUAGCGAGUAGGUGGGGUAACGGCUCAACCAGGCGACGAUCCCUAGCUGGUCCGAGAGGAUGACCAGCCACACUGGAACUGAGAAACGGGCCAGACCCCUACGGGAGGCAGGAGUGGGGAAUAAUGCAAAAUGGGCGAAAGGCUGAUGCAGGCAUGCCGGGUGUAUGAAGAAGGCCUUUGGGUUGUAAAGUAAUUUCAGCGGGGAGGAAGGCGAUAAGGUUAUUAACCUUGUCGAUUGACGUUACCCGCAGAAGAAGCACCGGCUAACUCCGUGCCAGCCGCCGCAGUAACAC